rnacentral:lncRNA from 1 species
GGAGCUGGCACCACUAGAUUUUCAUUGUGUUCCUUUCUUGUCACCAAAUACAUGCAUCUUACCCUGAGGUUUGCUGUAUCUUAUACUCCCUCUUUCACUUUAUAUUUUUUCUGUCAUGGGAACAAAGAGGGUUUUACAGAUGAAUUUGCUUUGCCAUGUUGAUGAGCCUGGACACCAGCUGGGGUGAGGUCCUCCUGGCAUUUGGGGACCUCUUCCAGCUCACUGGUAUCACUCAGUCCAAGCGAAAGGAGCCAUCAAGUGGGAAGCCAGGAGUUUCUCCAAAGGAAUCAUCUCUCCAGAGGACAAAUCCCCCCACCUGCAUACCCAAGCCGUCUCUUCGCAAGAUUGCCCUGGAAGUGCCUGAGGACAAAUGUGAACACCUGCCCUAGCCCCACAGCCCCUGAGAGCUCCUCAUGGCAUUGGGUUUUCCUGGAGAGAGAGGCCUGAGAUACUGCACAUGGGGCUGAGCAAAGGGAAUCGUCUUCCUCUUGGAGUGGAGGGAGGGCAACCACAGGAGGAGCAAAGCGGGAGGAACCUGGAGCCCGUGGGCCGGGCAGAAGGUGAGGCCAGCAGCAGGACCUGACCACCAGGGUGACACAAUGUUGAAGAAGCCUCCCAUCCCCAGUGCCUGGCCAGCCCCUCUGUGAAAGCUUGUUUAUAUCUCCAGGGGUAAAAGAUUGUUUGAGGAAAUCCAUUAGCUUCGGCAAUUCAAAGAGGGUGAGUUUUAUAUCUAGGUCAAUAUGACAAGUGCAAUGACAGCCUGGACCGACAGCCCAGGAGGUGGAGAAGCCUGGAGAAAGCCCUUCUCAGAGCCCCUCCCUGGUGCCUGCUGUGGGCUCCACUGUCCCUGACACCCACCCUCUCCUGGCCAGUGAGUCUGUGGGCCAAGGCACUCAGCUUGAGCACUGAACCCAGAAUUCCUACUCACCACCAGAGCCAGCCCCACGGCCUGCAGCACCCCCGUGGCCCAUCCUCUAGGGGGCUGGCCAUGUGUGGCUGUGUCCAGCCGAGGUCCAAAGGGCACAUGAGCUGUGUGACCACACCCCUGCAGGUCAGACCUUUCAGGGGCCUCCUGAGCCCAUGCAUCAGGGAAAGGAGCCAGUUCUCCCCUGUGUUGCUGUGCUACUCUUCUAAAUCUAAACCAGGACUUCAGGUCAUUGGGCAGGUUUCUUUGCGAAGGACCACAGGCUCAGGUACAUUCAACACUGCCAGGUUGGAUACAAGGAUAACAGGAUGUUUUGUGUGCCACAGGAGCCCCUCUGACAUUAAGUUACACAGGACAAACUCAUAAUUCUCAUCCGUAUCAUCUUGGAAAAUACUUUGCCUCCAUCCCUCCUCACCCCCUCUCUUGCCUCCUACCACCAGAACUAAGAGAUUCCUCUGGUGCAUGGCAAAGCCCAUGGCCUCUCCCUCCUGGAUGUGGUCCAGUGAGUCUGCAGAGUCUGUUUUGUCUGUGAGCUGGUGCACUCUGCUAGCAUCCUCACCCUUCACCGGUCAGCUAGUUAGGAGCUCGGCAGAGAGGCCUCAUGAGAUCCACCAAAUCAGGAAAUAAUCAUUGUGCAGUCUUGAGAUGCUCUACAGGCGGGCAGCCAGAGGGCCUUGAGUAAGGUCUCUUCCCCUUCUGGGGAGCCCUAGGCCCCUGUCAAAUGCAGGGACUAGUCAAUGUCAGAACAUCUCACAGAAGACUUAUGAAAGUCAAAUGUCUGUUAAUGCUACAGUUCAAGAGCUAAGAUUUGACUUUUGCACCAUUGAAUUACUCCAUUCAGCUUCUUUUAGAGCAAUGAUGAUGACAGUUAAUGAGUCUGAAUUUUCAAAAUAUGAAUUUUGUAUUCUUAUCUUUCUUCUCUGUUUCCUGCAAGAAGACAAGACAGAAUAUUUAUUGCCAAUAAAAUAUGGUAAUAAAACCCUGGCCAUGUGCACAAUAUUGAUUAUUGAUCAAUUGUCUAAUUCUAUUGUAUACCAUGAGGUUUAUCAUUGUCUAUAUUCUAUCAGUUCGAUGACUGAGGCAAUUUUCUUUUUAUUUCUGUGAUGAGAUUAUUAUUAUUCAGAAUUACAACACAGAAAUCAGAAUGUUUAUUUUGACUAAGAUGCAAUUUCUUCUUUCAGAAAUCAUUUAGAAUGUUUCAUAAUGCAUUUUAAAUUUUAAUUUGAAAAGUAAUUUCCAUGCCAGCAACUAGCCUGCAGAGACACCCAAAUUGGCUAUUGGCAUAAAAAGAAAAAAAAAGAGAUAUCUUUGUAAGUUAGAAAAAUGUGAAUGAUAAAAUGGUCAUUCUUUUUUCAGAAAGUAGCACAUGUAAUUUUUUAAACAAAAAUAAUUAUACUUAUGUGAUGAAUCUUGAAAUAUUUGAGAAAAAAUAUAAAGGAAAUAAGUUACCUCUAAUCCUACCAGCCAAAGAUCACCAUUUUUAAUAUAUUGGUAUAUUUCUUUUCAGCCUUUCUUCUGUGAAAUAAACAUUUAUUACUAUUGGUUCAAUAUUGCUACCAGGAAUGUGUCAUUGUCUGGCAACCUCCCCCCAGAGUUGAAAAUUUAGGUUGUUUUAAAUAUUCUGUUAAAAGGUAAUCUGUUAGUCUUCUGGUGGGUAUACAGUGAUAUCACAUUGUGGUUUUUAUCUGCAUCUCCCAAAUCUCUAAUAAAAUGGACAUAUGGCAUAUGUCUAUAGGUCAUCUUGUUCAAUUUUAAAAUGUCUUCUCAAGUCUUUUGCUGUUUUUCUAUUGUGCUGUCUUCUUAUUAUUGAGUAGUAGGACUUCUUCCUGUAUAUAGGAUAUAACUCUUUUGUCAACUAUAUCUAUUCCCCUUAUUUGUGAUAUUUAUGUUUUGUAAAGUCACUGUGAACACUGAAUUAGAAAAUAUUAAACUAUUGCUCUUAAGAAACAUACAGAGUUCACUUCCUGAGAGCCUCUGAUCACAACACUUUCAUCAACCAAAAUGGUAUUUGUAUUAUAUGGGUUCACUUGCCGGUGUCCUCAUAAAACAAGACAAUCUUAUCAGCUUUUAAAACCUGAUUUUCCAUACAACCUUUUUCUUAGUAUAAUACUUAGCAGGUAUCUAAAAAACCUUCCAC